rnacentral:rRNA from 1 species
AGAGUUUGAUCAUGGCUCAGAACGAACGCUGGCGGCGCGCCUAACACAUGCAAGUCGAACGGGGUGUCGGGCUUCGGCCUGGCACCUAGUGGCGCACGGGUGAGUAACGCGUGGGGACCUGCCCCGGGCUCCGGGACAACCGCGGGAAACUGCGGCUAAUACCGGAUGACGCCCUUCGCAAGGAGGGCCAAAGCCCUGAUCUUCGGAUCGGGGCGGCGUGGGAGGGGCCCGCGUCCGAUUAGCUGGUUGGUGGGGUAACGGCCCACCAAGGCUGUGAUCGGUAGCUGGUCUGAGAGGACGGUCAGCCACACGGGGACUGAGAUACGGCCCCGACUCCUACGGGAGGCAGCAGCUAGGAAUCUUGGGAAUGGGCGAAAGCCUGACCCAGCAACGCCGCGUGGGCGAUGAAGGCCUUCGGGUCGUAAAGCCCUUUUGCGGGGACGAUGAUGACGGUACCCGGGGAAUAAGCACCGGCUAACUCCGUGCCUGCAGCCGCGGUAAGACGGAGGGUGCUAGCGUUGUUCGGAAUGACUGGGCGUAAAGGGCGCGUAGGCGGCCCUCGCCGUCGGAUGUGAAAGCCCAGGGCUCAACCCCGGAACGGCAUCCGAGACGCGGGGGCUGGAGACCGGGAGAGGAGGGUGGAAUACCCAGUGUAGAGGUGAAAUUCGUAGAUAUUGGGUGGAACACCGGUGGCGAAAGCGGC